UGCCCGGUGGUGUAAUUGGUAACACAGCGGACUCUGGUUCCGCCAUUCGAGGUUCGAGUCCUCGCCGGGCAA
rnacentral:tRNA from 1 species